ensembl:lincRNA
GCGACAUAUUUCCAAAGAGGUAGCUACAAACAGUUCUAGCAAUGCCUUUGAUAUAAGAAAUGCCUGGAAACUUACUUCUCUGACAAUUACAGCUACUUUGUGUGGUUUCCGCACGGAGCAUCAGCUGUAUCUUCACUAGCAAGCUGCAUCCGACUACCUCUGCGUUAAAUCUGCUUCAGAUGGAUGUCUUCCGCCCACUGUGGAGAGUAGUAUGUGAAAUGAAGUCAUUCUUCUCACUCCCGCUAAAGCCAAGAUAAAGAGCCAUGAGGGAAGGCAUUGCUCCAGGAACUUUCUCACAAGGCCAAUUUAAUGAAACAUCCUGCUGUUACUUUAAGACAAUAGUUACUUUAAUAAUAGUUCUGUUUAGUAACUGAUGACAAACAACUGACCGUGAUUCAGACUAACUUUAUAAACCAGGCGUUGGGGCACCUGCCUAUAAACCCAACACUCUGGGAAACAGAGGCAGAAGGAUUUCAAGUAUAGUAGGAGCCUACCUUGGGCAAUUUAGUGACUUUAUAAGAUCCUAUCUCAAAUUAAAAUAUAAAAAAGGGCUGGAAGUUAGUUCACUAUGAAGGCCCUGGGUUCAGUUUCUAGCAGAACCACAUAUACAUACAUGUUCACACACACACACAUACGUACGAAGACUAACUUUAUAUAGUAACUGUGGGCACUUCAAAGGCCAUUGAAAUUGUAAAAAAAAUGAUUUGCAUCAAUUCAUCUGCAAUUAAGACACGAAUUAGCUGAAUUAGCUUCAAGUUUCCCUUUGUUCUUUAGAAGAACAAAAGGGCUUUCUGACCUUUGUGUAUGUACUAACUGGCAGUUCUGAUUUCCUGUUUUAGUCCCAGAUGUUCCUUUAUCAGAAAUUUUCCUGCAUAUUUUUCUUCGAGGUUUCACAGCACCAUGAGCUUUCCCGAGUGUAUUCCCAGGCCAAGCCACUAAGCGGAGCACAAUUAAGCCUCGUCCUGAAGGCGUUUGAGACGGUGACACUUUUUGACCUACUGUUGUGUCUCCUGGAUGCUACUUCUGCCCAGGACGUCUGCACCUUGUUGUUUUCCCUUUUUGCUUCUAAGGACUGCACAUUUGACCUCCAGGGAAUUCCUUCAGCUCCUCAGAGUCCCAUGGUAGAAGGAAAUCACCGUACCAUUUUGUGAAGAGCUAUGUUUGCUAGAAGAGAAAACUUCCCCUUCUUCCUCAUUUGUUGCCCUUAAUUAUUUUCAAUUCCAGUAGCUUCUUAAAUUGAACCAUAUAAAUGUGAAUGAAUAGGUUAUUCUUCCUUAUCACAGGGAAUUAAUUCUUUAGAUAUAGCUACAAUUAAAGAAUUUUAAACACAU